CCCGCUUCUAUGAUGCUCACCUUAUUUCUGCAACAAAUUAAAAACAGGUAUAAAACAAGUGUCUAGUACCACGAGGAUCAUUCAACAUUAAACAGAAGAAUCUGUGCUUAUCCCAAAAAGGAAAAGCAAAUCAUACAGUAAGAGCACACAUCCAAUUACCAAAUCAGUAAUCUCAAAAGACAAAAAAAAAAAAAAAAAAGACUGAUAGAUAUUCCCCAGGCAGGAUAAUCGAAGAAGCAAUCGUUUUGAGAGGUCUACAAAAUAUUCUCCAAUUCAUUACAUAUAUCAAGAUUGGUUGCAGCCAUUCUACUCUACCAAAAAUUAAAAAAAGGUAAAAAA